GUCCUCGGUGACUCAAUUGGAUAGAGCAUCUGCCUUGUAAGCAGGAGGUCCCGGGUUCGAGUCCCGGUCAGGGCA